rnacentral:rRNA from 1 species
GUGUCUGGUGGGUAGUUUGACUGGGGCGGUCUCCUCCUAAAGAGUAACGGAGGAGCACGAAGGUUAGCUAAUCCUGGUCGGACAUCAGGAGGUUAGUGCAAAGGCAUAAGCUAGCUUGACUGCGAGCGUGACGGCGCGAGCAGGUGCGAAAGCAGGUCUUAGUGAUCCGGUGGUUCUGAAUGGAAGGGCCAUCGCUCAACGGAUAAAAGGUACUCCGGGGAUAACAGGCUGAUACCGCCCAAGAGUUCAUAUCGACGGCGGUGUUUGGCACCUCGAUGUCGGCUCAUCACAUCCUGGGGCUGAAGUAGGUCCCAAGGGUAUGGCUGUUCGCCAUUUAAAGUGGUACGCGAGCUGGGUUUAGAACGUCGUGAGACAGUUCGGUCCCUAUCUGCCGUGGGCGCUGGAGAAUUGAGGGGGGCUGCUCCUAGUACGAGAGGACCGGAGUGGACGCAUCACUGGUGUUCGGGUUGUCAUGCCAAUGGCACUGCCCGGUAGCUAAAUGCGGAAGAGAUAAGUGCUGAAAGCAUCUAAGCACGAAACUUGCCCCGAGAUGAGUUCUCCCUGACCCUUAAAGGGUCCUGAAGGAACGUUGAAGACGACGACGUUGAUAGGCCG